rnacentral:rRNA from 1 species
ACUAAGUGAGCUACUUCGAGGCAGUUUUAAGAACGACCCCAUCUCUGUUGCAAAAGAGUGGGAUGACCUCCAAGUAGGGGCGACAAACCUACCGCACUUAGAGAUAGCUGGUUACUCAAGAAAAGAAUUUAAGUUCAACCUAAAGUUUUCUAAUUACACAAAAAUACAAUAAAACUUUAGAGCUACUCAAAUAAGGCACAGCUUAUUUGAAAUAGGACCCAACCUACAACAUCGGGUAAUAUAAACAAGCAAGUAACAAGUGGGCCUAAGAGCAGCCACCUACAAAAAGCGUUAAAGCUUAAUACUUAAACUGUAUUAAUACCACCACUACCCUAGAACCCCCCACCAAUAUUGAGUAAUUCCAUAAACAUAUGGAAGCUAUUAUGCUAGAAUGAGUAACAAGAAAUAGCUUUUCUCCUAAAUGUAAGCUUAAGCCAUAAUAGACCAACUACCGGCA